CCUACGGGAGGCAGCAGUAGGGAAUAUUGCGCAAUGGGGGAAACCCUGACGCAGCGAUGCCGCGUGAGUGAAGAAGGCCUUAGGGUUGUAAAACUCUUUCAGUGGUGAAGAUAAUGACGGUAACCACAGAAGAAGCUCCGGCUAACUCCGUGCCAGCAGCCGCGGUAAUACGGAGGGGGCUAACGUUGUUCGGAAUUACUGGGCGUAAAGCGCGCGUAGGCGGAUUAGACAGUUGGGGGUGAAAUCCCGGAGCUUAACUUCGGAACUGCCUUCAAUACUACUAAUCUAGAGUUCGGAAGAGGUGAGUGGAAUUCCUAGUGUAGAGGUGAAAUUCGUAGAUAUUAGGAAGAACAUCAGAGGCGAAGGCGGCUCACUGGUCCGAUACUGACGCUGAGGUGCGAAAGCGUGGGGAGCAAACAGGAUUAGAUACCCUUGUAGUC
rnacentral:rRNA from 1 species